UGGUAAUGCCGGAUGCUCCAGUUGAUCGCAUGGUCUUCUGGGAAAGCUUUCGCGGUAUGGGAUGGGGUCGCGUCCUAUCAGCUUGACGGCGGGGUAACGGCCCACCGUGGCUUCGACGGGUAGCCGGCCUGAGAGGGCGACCGGCCACAUUGGGACUGAGAUACGGCCCAGACUCCUACGGGAGGCAGCAGUGGGGAAUAUUGCACAAUGGGCGCAAGCCUGAUGCAGCGACGCCGCGUGAGGGAUGGAGGCCUUCGGGUUGUAAACCUCUUUUAUCGGGGAGCAAGCGAGAGUGAGUUUACCCGUUGAAUAAGCACCGGCUAACUACGUGCCAGCAGCCGCGGUAAUACGUAGGGUGCAAGCGUUAUCCGGAAUUAUUGGGCGUAAAGGGCUCGUAGGCGGUUCGUCGCGUCCGGUGUGAAAGUCCAUCGCUUAACGGUGGAUCCGCGCCGGGUACGGGCGGGCUUGAGUGCGGUAGGGGAGACUGGAAUUCCCGGUGUAACGGUGGAAUGUGUAGA
rnacentral:rRNA from 1 species